AAUCCUCAAUGCGACUCUUGCCGAUAAGGCAACACAAAAACAUGUCUUUAUUAAAGAAAUACACACUUACUCUUGUCAUCCUUAACUAGCAACUAUCUUAGUUCUGCACAAACUUCGAGCGAACCAUCACCAUGUCCUAGGAGUUCCAUUAUAUCUGAUCUUUAGGCCAAGGGGGUCGGGCUAAGCGAGAUAGUGAAACCAGUGAUCGGGCGAAGCGAGCUGUUCCACAAGGGGUCGGGCGAGGCGGAGGACUGCCUCGAGGAGUCGAGCGCAUCCGACCUUGCGACUCGGGGUCGGCCAAGCUUUGAACAGACCCACCGAAAGGGGUGUGUGGUUACAGCAAAACUUCUCACAACUUGGCUUCGAAGGCGUGUCGCAAAAGAGCCCAAGG
rnacentral:lncRNA from 1 species